UAUUGCACAAUGGGCGAAAGCCUGAUGCAGCAACGCCGCGUGAGCGAUGAAGGCCUUCGGGUCGUAAAGCGCUGUCCUCAAGGAAGAUAAUGACGGUACUUGAGGAGGAAGCCCCGGCUAACUACGUGCAAGCAGCCGCGGUAAUACGUAGGGGGCUAGCGUUACCCGGAAUUACUGGGCGUAAAGGGUGCGUAGGUGGUUUCUUAAGUCAGAGGUGAGAGGCUACGGCUCAACCGUAGUAAGCCUUUGAAACUGGGGAACUUGAGUGCAGAAGAGAAGAGUGGAAUUCCUAGUGUAGCGGUGAAAUGCGUAGAUAUUAGGAGGAACACCAGUUGCGAAGGCGGCUCUCUGGACUGUAACUGACACUGAGGCACGAAAGCGUGAGGAGCAAAC
rnacentral:rRNA from 1 species